AUUUUCGGGACAAUACACGUGUUGAGGAGGUGACUAAGAAACCGGUAGUUAAGCGCAAAAGAAAACGGGCAAAAAAGGCCAAGAAUCAAACGGCUGGAAUAAAAUAUCCCUUGUCAGACAGAAACACUUUUGGUGAUACAAAUAAUAUCAGCGUAAGUCAUACUUUUCUUACUACUUAUCAGGAAAAAGCCAUACUAUUAUUACUCGGGAUAUUUGCUUGAAACUGACCAAGUUUAUUCUACUAUUUAAAAUGCAGACUCUUGAAACAAAGUUUAUGGUGUCUGUAGAUCUAGGUAGGCAGAAAGGAAAGUUUUUAACAAAAUAGCAUUCAAAAUGGCUAAAAUUCUCCAUGGCAGAUCCUAGCUCAAAUUUUGUCAUGAGCUGCAUUUGAGAUAGUGCAACCUCCUAUGGUUGAUUUGGGCAGUAGUUUUUGCCCCACUCCAGAGCAAAUCCUCGAGCGGAG
rnacentral:lncRNA from 1 species